UACAGAGGCCUCGAGCGUUUAGGCGGAAUCACUGGGCUUAAAGCGUGUGUAGGCGGACUUCUAAGUACCUUGUGAAAUCCCACGGCUCACCCGUGGAACUGCUGGGUAUACUGGUCGUCUUGAGCCUUCUAGGGGCUACCGGAACAAAUGGUGGAGCGGUGAAAUGCGUAGAUAUCAUUUGGAACGCCAAUGGUGAAAACAGGUAGCUGGGGAAGUGCUGACGCUGAGACACGAAAGCCAGGGGAGCGAACGGG
rnacentral:rRNA from 1 species